CUUUCACUGAACCUGACGCUCAUUGAUUGAGCUACAGUGGUUGGCCAACAAGCCCCUGUCUCACCUUGCCAGCUCUGGGAUUCCAGGUACAUGCCAACAUCACGCCUGCCUUAUUAUAUGGGUGCUUAGGAUCCAAAUUCAGGUUCUCAUGUCCAAACAGAAAGCACUUAAUGUACUUAACCAUCUCGCUAACUCUUAAGUUGACAAUCUUUAGAAACCAAAAUUGAGUCAAUUAUAAAAUAACAAUAUACAGCAUGAUGAUAAUGAUCAGAAGAACAUAAUCUUCAAAAAAUACAUUUUCAUCCAUACAAAGUUAUUUUAAAUAAACUUUAAAAAUAUGUGGUUAGAAAUCCCAGUGUAAUUUUAAAGGACAGUUUAAUAGUUAUUAGGUAAGUAAAAUAUGAAAUUAGAUUUGAAAUUUAAAAGCAAUAAAAUGUUUUAUUUUAUUUAAGUAUUACUUCACGUGGAAUUACAGAAUUUUGUAGGAUAUGGGUAGGCUACUGGAAUUCAUCUAAUCCAGUUCUUUUGUUCUAGAGCCUCAAUUAAAGAGGGAGAGACACAGGUAAGUGCUUCAGCAGUGCAGAUUGAGAGUGAGAUGGACCUAAGUUCACAUCUUGACUCUGCCUCUCACCAGCUCUGUGAGUCAUAGAGGAGGGUCUUCAGAUGCCUUGGCUAGAAAGCAGAAAUGUUACAUCUGGAAUAAAAGAAUUCUCUUCAAAAACCCAAGUCACUCACUCACUCAUUCAUUCAUUCAUCCACUUGUCCAACAAAUACGUAUUAAGACCACUAGCUGUAUGGCUUCAGGCAGGUUACUUAGCACUUUCUGCCUUGGUUUCCAAAAGAUCUGUAAAGUGGGAAUCUCUGUGACAGUUGUAAAACAAUCUAUGUGACAAGUACAUAAAUUAAUGUAUAUAAAGUGUUCAUGGUUUCUCCUGGUAUACUGCAGAAGCUAAGGACUAAUAUUGGAGAUUAUUAUUAUUCUCCUACUACUCUGGUGUGUCAGGGAAAAUGAUUGACUCUGGGGAUAUAAUUUAGAAGCCCUAUGUAAUAUUUUCCUUCCAAUUACUAAGCAUCUCAUUUGCAUAGACCCAAUCUUUCAUUCCAUUGCUCAGUUGCGAUAGUGAAGCCAUUUGGAAACUUCUUCACUAGGGGUCCAUUUUGACAGUGCUAUCCUUCAUACAUGAAAAGAAAAAUACUCCACAUCCAAGAUCUGUGCAUAAAUUUUGUGCUUUCCUGCAAAUAUCUCUGCAGUCUUAGCUAGCCUCCUGGGUGAGAAAUGAUGAGUUUGUGAGUACAUGUAGAGGUUAGCUCUGUCCCCACAGAGCAAAGCAAAGUUAACUGCUUCUCUGGGGGAUUGAGUCUCACAUGUCAUUCUCAGUGCCCAGAAGCCUAAUCAGCAAUAACAAGCCACAGAAAUCCAGCAAUGGCUAUUUCAUUGUCCUUGGCUGUUCUGUGAUAGUCGGGUGAGUUAAUGAGAAUGCAGAUUCCAUAACUCAUGUCUGAUGAAUUAAUGUAGAUUCCCUUACUGCCUUGGAAUGCUCAGGAUGUGGCAGAAAUCCUAUGUAACUCUUACUUAGGAUCAUAUGAAUCACUGAGAGUGCAUGAAGCUUUGAGUGGCCACACAGCUUCUCUCUCUUCUCCCAAGAAAAUAUUACACUAUCCAAGAGAAGCAAAGGGUCAAUACACCUUUAUACCCUUGAGAGAAAGUUCUCUUCAAAACUCACUUUGACAUGCCAGUCUUAUUAACAAGAAAUAAACAGGCUUAAGUUUUUUAGUAUGGAAUCUAUCACCUCAUGUGUGUUCAUAUGUACAUGUAUGUACACACACUGUGUGCAUGCACACAUAGCUUGGUUGUCAUUUUCUGGUAAGAAAGCUGAACUACCUCUGCCCAAAAAAAGAAACAAUCAAAUCCAGGAAGCUGCAUUACUGGGACCAGUAAGAUGGCCCAGCAGAUAAAGGUGCCUGCUGCCAAGGCUCUGACCAUUUCUUCAGGUAUCAUCCACAAGUUGAAGCAGUUCUUAAAAUUUCUGGGUGGAGUUUGGUCUCUGAGAUCUAUAUCUUAGAUGCAAAGCUGAGUCUUGAAAAUUGUUCCUGGUCCUAAUGAUAUAGAAUCAGGUAAUUCUUGGUUGAAGAAGACCAUAUUAAGUAUUUUGGGUCGUUACUACUACUCUUGCCUUCUACACACUAUAUGUUUUCAAUUGUCUUUAAAAUAGAUUUUUAUCAAUUUUCUGAAUACCCUAUGUGUGUGUUUUUUUUUUUGGGGGGGGGUGUUGCUCCAACUGGAAAUCUUCUGCUUAAAGUAGUUUUUUCAUUCUGGGCACUGAAGAAUGUAGAAGAAUACAAGGACUGAUGGACAGAGAAUGCUUGCACUGGAUUUGGAAUAUGAACUGCAGAAAAAUCAAGCUAACUUGAUUUGAGUUCAGGGCCUUAUGUGACAUCUUGCAUGUAGCUAAUGUUCAGAAUGUACUUAUCAGGUGAACUGAUGUUUAGAGACCAUAACCAACUUCCUGUUUCUCUCUACAAAUUCUCUCCCCUAGAAGAGCCUACCAGGCCAGGGAGUGUGAAGCUGUCAAUACUGGGGGGUUGUUUUAUGUGUUUGCUUUAUUUUAUGUUUAUGAGUGUUUUACCUGCAUGUAUAUAUGUGCACUGUCUGUGUGCCUGAUGCCCAUGGAGAUCAAAAGACAGUAUCAGAUCCCCGGAACUGGAGUUACAGGUGGUUGUAAGCCAUUGUGUGGGUUCUGAGGACUUAAGCCUGGUUUUCUGAAUGGGCAACCAGUGAUCUUAACCUCUGGAACAUCUUUUCAGCCCCAGGAAUUCUUUUUAAAAGGAAAACAAUAACAUAAACCAUCUUAGCUGUAGGAUUAGAGACUAGAAAAAUCCCCUUUUAGGAAAGUUGAAGUUGUUCCCUUAGCCGUUAGCUAUCCAGAAAAACCACUGCAUCGGAGCAGAAAUCUAGUUCUUUGCAGGAAUAAUCCUAGAAGCAUGUAGCAGCUUUCCUGGAUCCUUACAGCAGCACUCUGACAGGGAUAUAAAGCAUCAGGAUGGUUGCAGGACACCCAGAAGGUCACACAUUCAGGCAUUAUUAUUAGAGCUGGGUGCUGCUCUGUCCUUUCCUUAUUGUGAACUGUACUUGAUUAUGCUGAUUAUCAUAGAUACAAAUGAAGACUCACUACUAUUGUGAAAUAACAAUGCGGGUUAAUGGUAUUCUUUAUUCCUAGAGGGGAAAACUACAGACAUGAAACCAAUUAAGCCACCUUUCUUUCUUUGCAAAAAUGGAGACCCUCAGGUUGUGCUUAUUGUCAGUAAAGACACAUGGAUUUGUGGUUCUUUCCCAGAUUUUACUGAGAUAGGCAAUGAUACUAGGGCUGUCCAGGUUUCCCCUUUUGAAUUGACAAUGACUAUGUUAAUAUGCUAGCUCACAAAAGGCAGCACUAAAUAGGAAAACCAAAUAUUUUGAAAUGAAUAUUCCACAGUAUCUCCUUGCAGAGGUUCAGCAAUGCCGCUCUUGGAAAUCUCUAUUAGGGAAAGGUUCUUGAUUGCCCUUUCCUGGACAUGGCUAUGGAGAGGCUACCCUCCUGUGUCUCCAGAGAACAAUGGCAGGCUAAUUUAUGUGUUCCUUGAACUUUAAAUAGUUGUACUUUAGUCCCAGGUCUACAAAAUACCUACCACAAAAACCUUUCACGUGGAAACACAUCAUGUCACAUGUACAUUGUUAAUGUAACUAUGGUAACCCCCCAAAAAUGCCACCAAUGUGUCUGUUUCAUAUACAAAUGAGGUGACAGCUGUGGAGUCCAUGUCUGCCCAUAGUAUAAUAGAUGCGAGCUAAGACAGCCUGGGUCAGAAGAUUACAACUCAUUUACAGUAAUCAAAGCUUUCAAAUAACAUCACAACAUCUGAGCUAUAAAGAGUGUAAAUGGAAGGUAAGAAGCCACUAUAAAAGCAGGCUCUUCUCCACAGCUUUCAAAACUAAGUGUCUUAACCUAAUGCACUGGUCUUUUUAGCAGGUGCUCUGAAAUUAGGAUGAACAGCACCUUUGAUGUGUAUUGCAAACCUACAUCUAUUUUCUCUGCUUCUUAGGGGCAAUUUUUCAGGUCAGUAGAUAUGAUGAUUCCAUCCAAGUUAAAUGUUUAUGGUAGUUGUGGUCCUGGAGGCAAAGCUUUUUCAAUCCUUUUUGACAAUCCAAUCAAUUAUGAUAGUUAGUCCUUCCAGCCCUAUUGGCCCAGCCAUGCUAUGUUACAACUGAGGAAUCUCAAAGUUAGCAGGUUAAGGAAGACAUACCAGACCACUUGGGUAUAGCUGGUAAUAGUAUACUUAUCAACUAAAUAACUGGUAAAAUAAUACAAGGUCAAUAAACCAUUUAUUAUAUCUGUUCUUUGAGACAUAGAAACUAAACUCUGAAAUAUACCCAGAAUGUUGAUAUGUUAAAAGAGAGAGAAAAUGAGUUUUAAAGUGAACUCCAUUUAAAACUCUAAGAUCCAAUGGCUCUCUUGUGGUCUCUAAAAUACUGCAUUUUACUGGGUUUAGCCUUGGUUUGUAUUCUGUUCUUUGAUCCCAAACAAGAAAGACUACAUGUUUUUCUGACUUCAUCAUCUUAAUUUUAAUUUCAUUCUGAAUAAAAUAUUAAUCAAAGCUCUAUUCAUGAGUUAAAGAUAUUUCCAUUGUUCUCAGAAACCAAAAUAUGGUUUUAAAAUGGAAGCUGCUUUAUCUUCAGAUUGGCUUAACUCAAAAUAGAUGUUCAGCAUAAUAACUUAAAAAAAUUCAAUACAAUAUUUGAGCAGCCUUAUAUUAGUGCUGAAAUGAAUCACAGAAUAACUAUUUGCAGCUGAAAAAAUAAAUAUAAGAAAGCACUGUGAAAGUAGCACCUAUGCCUGCAAUGUAUCAUAUUUUAUAUAUAGUCUAUGGCUUAUUUAAGGUGGCAUAAAAGCCUACAACAAGAUAAUUGAUGAUUAUUUAUAGUCAGCCAGGUGCGGGGAAUCAAACUAUUAACUGUAAUAGUAGAUUUAUUUCUUAGAAGUUGAUUUUUAAGUACUUACGCUCUCUGGAUAUGUUGCUGAAAGAGAUUAUUUGUAAUAGACGGAGAAGUUCAGGUCAAGAGCCCAGCAAUGUAAGACUCUACGCAGAGGUCAAGGUUUAGCUUUCUUUCUCAUGUUUAUCCUACUUGUUAUCUCACAGUUCCAGAAUCUAACAGAAGCUACCUAUGCCUACUUUGUCAGAACUAACAUCUGUAGUUGGAUCUGGUCUGAGUUUAUUUUAUUUAACAGAGCAAUCUUUUCUAAUAAUUAAGUACCUUAUUACUUUUAUUUGCCAGAAUGCAAACUCAGUCCUUCCUGUAUUAAACCUGUCUAAUAAAGACCUCCCUUAGGGAGGCUAACAGUUGACAGUUCAUAGAUGUGAUGCUGUGGCAUCUUACCUUGAUUUCAAAACUACCCUCUAAUAAUUUUAUAUCAAAGGGGUAGGUGGGUUUAGUUUGGAAAUGCCAUUUUUAUUAUAUAAUCAUCCCUCAAUUCCAUCAGGGAGACAGAAAGCCAGGUUUGAGAGUAACAGAAGAGCUCAGUACACCAAUGUUGCUUUCUGACUUCUGCAUAGCUUUAAGACAGAAAAUGCAAACUUGGCUAUUAACACUUCGCAAUCAGAUUGGACUUGAUUCAUUUUUUUCCUAACUGGAGUAGACUGCUUUAUAUAUAAAGGGCAUUGGACCAGAAUAUGAUAAUCAUAAUAACAACAACUUCAGAAAACACGUGAAACAACAUGCUAACAUCUGUUGUCCACCCCUCUCUCCAGUCAAGCCCCUCAAAGCAAUAUUGUCUUUCUGUUGUAUUUUAAUGUCUCUUUUAGCAAGUAUAUAGAAAACAGGGUCAUCAAACCCUGUUGGGUGAAUAGGUUUCUUUCCCCCUCCAACAGUGUUGGGGGCUGACAAAAGAAGAGUUUCUGGGGCUGGCUUGUCAGGGGUUAUCGCUGCAAGCCUCACAUGUGGCCCAUGUGGCCCAGCUUUUGUUCUAUCAGUCUUACAAAGUCAGGAGGUGAAUAGCAUGACUGACCAGUUAAUAUAAUACAAGACAGAAAAGUCCUUGCUUUGGGAGUCCAUUGAAUUACUUCCCCUGUUCACUGUUCAGUACUGGGACACACACACACACACACACACACACACACACACACACACACACACACACACGUCCACUCCCUUUGCUGGAAUGGGAUGCUCUCAUCAACUGCAGCCUUUUAACUUUGUCACCUAAGGAACUCAAAUGAGGUUAAAUGGACAGUGACCACUCUACUGAGACCUUCCAGUUGGUCAGUGACAAACACCUUUUCCUAUAUUACUUCUCUCAGGGCAGGGAGCAAAUGUUGGCCAAAAUAAAAUAAAAAAAAAAUUACUCAAAGAAAAAGAAAAGAACUCUAAAAGUUGAGGAGUCAGUGAAGAAAUCAUUUCAAGCCACCAGAAGUGGAUUAAAGUUACUGCCUGCAUAGGAAUAUUCCCUCUGUGCAGCAUGCACAGAUACAUCCAGGUAAGAGCAAGUGGAUUUGAGCUUUCCAUAUAAUACCACACUAAGAAUUUGGCUCUUGAAUAAAUGUGUCAGCAAGCCAUGGAAUCCCCAAACAGAGAAACCCACACUGGGCCUUUAUUCCACGUUCUUAAGGUCUAUUGUUAACUGAAGACUCCUUGUCUUUUCCAAUUCCUUCAUGUGAAUGGAUGAGGCCAGACAUCUGCCAGGAUCCGCUCACAUUUGCAUGCAAAUUAGAGACUUCAUGACACACAUGGCCCUGGAGCCAGUAACACCACUUCGACUCCAGCUUUAUACAGGUCAGAGUAUAAGUUUCCACUUCUCAAGUUCCAGGUUUUAAAAACGAAGUCAUGGCAAUAUAGCAAUAAUAUUAAUCGUCUAGAUGGUCGUGGUAAAUCGAACUGGAAAACAAGAUAACAUACUGUCUCAGAAAAAUCCUACAGAAAAAAAGUCCAAGUCAGCAGUACGUGUUCCCUCAGCGAAUCUGAAUUCCGUAUUUGUUUUUAUUAUCUGGGUCUGGGAAUGAAUGUAUUAACGACAGGGUGGGAUUUAGGAGCUUUGCCUACAUGGUUCAGUCGCUCAAAGGCUAUGACACUUUGCUCACUCUCUGCACUUGGCUUUGAAGCUAUUGCUGUGGAUACCGCAGGCGAGGUCCCUCUGGAGCAAGUUCUACUACGGAAUCUUCCAGCCUGCGCAUCCAUGCCUGCUUUUGGGCCACAGUCCCAGGACGAACUUUCCAACCUGCCCAGUGCGCGAGGUGCCUCGGGGCUGCCUGGCUUUUCUGGGGAAACCCAACCAGCCAAGGACUUCCCCCUCAGGUAGCGGUGACUUCGGGAACCGAGGAAGCACCGAACCAGUCGGCAGCAGCCCACACCCCCUCUCCAUGCAGCACAAAGGACACUCGCUGGCAAACUUUCCUAGCUACUGAUCCUGGAGCAAAAUGCCUGGAAGAGACCAAGGCUUCCUUGAAAUCUCCACAUCCAUGACAAGUCUCCUUAAGGGGCUACCGCUUCUACUUUCAAAAGAGAUUCUUCUUUACUGACUUGUGAUGGAUCUCCAGAAUCUGCACAGAAACAACGAACCAAAUUUUUCCAGUGAUGAUCAUCAAGCCCAGAGCCUCAUGCAUACCAGGCUGACAUUGUACCACUGAGCCAUACCCCUACCUUAUUAUAUCUGUUUUAAAGUCUUCAUUAUAGUCAUAUUAACUAUAUGAACAUGUUUGUGCAACAGAUCUCUAGAACCUUCUUACCUUGUAAAACAAAACAUGAUAAGGUGUGAUAGAAUGGUA